GUGCAGUGAGAAAGGAGAGAAGAUUGGCAUCUCCCCUGCGCAAGGACGGAACUUAUUAUCGGGUCUUGACCCCGAAAAAAGGCAAAUUGACACGUUUUUUU
rnacentral:ncRNA from 1 species